GGUUAAGCGACUAAGCGUACACGGUGGAUGCCCUGGCAGUCAGAGGCGAUGAAGGACGUGUUAAUCUGCGAUAAGCGUCGGUAAGGUGAUAUGAACCGUUAUAACCGGCGAUUUCCGAAUGGGGAAACCCAGUGUGAUUCGUCACACUAUCAUUAACUGAAUCCAUAGGUUAAUGAGGCGAACCGGGGGAACUGAAACAUCUAAGUACCCCGAGGAAAAGAAAUCAACCGAGAUUCCCCCAGUAGCGGCGAGCGAACGGGGAG
rnacentral:rRNA from 1 species